rnacentral:rRNA from 1 species
CCCCUUGAGGGUCCUAAAGGGCCGUUGGAGACCACAACGUUGAUAGGUGGGGUGUGUAAGUGCAGUGAUGUGUUGAGCUAACCCAUACUAAUUACCCGUGAGGCUUAACCAUACAACACCCAAGAAGUGUUCUG